UCCCUGGAGGACUAGUGGUUAGGCCACAGGCUCUCACCGCUGUGGUCUGGGUUCGAUUCCCGGUCAGGGAA